rnacentral:snRNA from 1 species
GUGCUUGCUUUGGAAGCACAUAUACCAAAAUUGGAAUACAGAGAUUAGCAUGGCCCCUGCACAAAGAUGACACACAAAUUCAUGUAUCGUUCCAUACUUUU